UUAAAUUGAAGAGUUUGAUCAUGGCUCAGAUUGAACGCUGGCGGCAGGCCUAACACAUGCAAGUCGAACGGUAACAGGAAACAGCUUGCUGUUUCGCUGACGAGUGGCGGACGGGUGAGUAAUGUCUGGGAAACUGCCUGAUGGAGGGGGAUAACUACUGGAAACGGUAGCUAAUACCGCAUAACGUCGCAAGACCAAAGAGGGGGACCUUCGGGCCUCUUGCCAUCGGAUGUGCCCAGAUGGGAUUAGCUUGUUGGUGGGGUAACGGCUUACCAAGGCGACGAUCCCUAGCUGGUCUGAGAGGAUGACCAGCCACACUGGAACUGAGACACGGUCCAGACUCCUACGGGAGGCAGCAGUGGGGAAUAUUGCACAAUGGGCGCAAGCCUGAUGCAGCCAUGCCGCGUGUAUGAAGAAGGCCUUCGGGUUGUAAAGUACUUUCAGCGGGGAGGAAGGGAGUAAAGUUAAUACCUUUGCUCAUUGACGUUACCCGCAGAAGAAGCACCGGCUAACUCCGUGCCAGCAGCCGCGGUAAUACGGAGGGUGCAAGCGUUAAUCGGAAUUACUGGGCGUAAAGCGCACGCAGGCGGUUUGUUAAGUCAGAUGUGAAAUCCCCGGGCUCAACCUGGGAACUGCAUCUGAUACUGGCAAGCUUGAGUCUCGUAGAGGGGGGUAGAAUUCCAGGUGUAGCGGUGAAAUGCGUAGAGAUCUGGAGGAAUACCGGUGGCGAAGGCGGCCCCCUGGACGAAGACUGACGCUCAGGUGCGAAAGCGUGGGGAGCAAACAGGAUUAGAUACCCUGGUAGUCCACGCCGUAAACGAUGUCGACUUGGAGGUUGUGCCCUUGAGGCGUGGCUUCCGGAGCUAACGCGUUAAGUCGACCGCCUGGGGAGUACGGCCGCAAGGUUAAAACUCAAAUGAAUUGACGGGGGCCCGCACAAGCGGUGGAGCAUGUGGUUUAAUUCGAUGCAACGCGAAGAACCUUACCUGGUCUUGACAUCCACAGAACUUUCCAGAGAUGGAUUGGUGCCUUCGGGAACUGUGAGACAGGUGCUGCAUGGCUGUCGUCAGCUCGUGUUGUGAAAUGUUGGGUUAAGUCCCGCAACGAGCGCAACCCUUAUCCUUUGUUGCCAGCGGUCCGGCCGGGAACUCAAAGGAGACUGCCAGUGAUAAACUGGAGGAAGGUGGGGAUGACGUCAAGUCAUCAUGGCCCUUACGACCAGGGCUACACACGUGCUACAAUGGCGCAUACAAAGAGAAGCGACCUCGCGAGAGCAAGCGGACCUCAUAAAGUGCGUCGUAGUCCGGAUUGGAGUCUGCAACUCGACUCCAUGAAGUCGGAAUCGCUAGUAAUCGUGGAUCAGAAUGCCACGGUGAAUACGUUCCCGGGCCUUGUACACACCGCCCGUCACACCAUGGGAGUGGGUUGCAAAAGAAGUAGGUAGCUUAACCUUCGGGAGGGCGCUUACCACUUUGUGAUUCAUGACUGGGGUGAAGUCGUAACAAGGUAACCGUAGGGGAACCUGCGGUUGGAUCACCUCCUUACCUUAAAGAAGC
rnacentral:rRNA from 1 species